rnacentral:rRNA from 1 species
AUUGAACGCUGGCGGCAGGCCUAACACAUGCAAGUCGAGCGGAUGAAGGGAGCUUGCUCCUGGAUUCAGCGGCGGACGGGUGAGUAAUGCCUAGGAAUCUGCCUGGUAGUGGGGGAUAACGUCCGGAAACGGGCGCUAAUACCGCAUACGUCCUGAGGGAGAAAGUGGGGGAUCUUCGGACCUCACGCUAUCAGAUGAGCCUAGGUCGGAUUAGCUAGUUGGUGGGGUAAUGGCCUACCAAGGCGACGAUCCGUAACUGGUCUGAUAGGAUGAUCAGUCACCUUGGAACUGGGCCACGGACCAUGGUCCUGAGGGAGGGCGCAGACUGGAACGUUAGACAGCGGGCGGAAGUCUUGCCCAGCCGGGCCGCGUCUGUGGAGAAGGUGUUCCGAUCGUAAAGCACGCUAAGUUGUUGGGAAGCGCUUUAAGUUAUUACCUAGCUGUUGUGACGGUACUGGCUGAAGAAGCACCGGCUAACUACGUG